CUUUCUCAAGCGAGUGGCGAACGGGUGAGUAACGCGUGAGGAACCUGCCUCAAAGAGGGGGACAACAGUUGGAAACGACUGCUAAUACCGCAUAAGCCCACGACCUGGCAUCGGGUAGAGGGAAAAGGAGCAAUCCGCUUUGAGAUGGCCUCGCGUCCGAUUAGCUAGUUGGUGAGGUAAUGGCCCACCAAGGCGACGAUCGGUAGCCGGACUGAGAGGUUGAACGGCCACAUUGGGACUGAGACACGGCCCAGACUCCUACGGGAGGCAGCAGUGGGGAAUAUUGCACAAUGGGGGAAACCCUGAUGCAGCGACGCCGCGUGGAGGAAGAAGGUCUUCGGAUUGUAAACUCCUGUUGUUGAGGAAGAUAAUGACGGUACUCAACAAGGAAGUGACGGCUAACUACGUGCCAGCAGCCGCGGUAAAACGUAGGUCACAAGCGUUGUCCGGAAUUACUAGGUGUAAAGGGAGCGCAGGCGGGAAGACAAGUUGGAAGUGAAAUCCAUGGGCUCAACCCAUGAACUGCUUUCAAAACUGUUUUUCUUGAGUAGUGCAGAGGUAGGCGGAAUUCCCGGUGUAGCGGUGGAAUGCGUAGAUAUCGGGAGGAACACCAGUGGCGAAGGCG
rnacentral:rRNA from 1 species